rnacentral:rRNA from 1 species
UACGGGGGGGGCAAGCGUUGUUCGGAAUUACUGGGCGUAAAGGGCUCGUAGGCGGCCAACUAAGUCGGAUGUGAAAUCCCCAGGCUUAACCUGGGAACUGCAUCCGAUACUGGAUGGCUUGAAUCCGGGAGAGGGAUGCAGAAUUCCAGGUGUAGCGGUGAAAUGCGUAGAUAUCUGGAGGAAUACCGGUGGCGAAGGCGACAUCCUGGACCAACACUGACGCUGAGGAGCGAAAGCCAGGGGAGCAAACGGG